rnacentral:rRNA from 1 species
UACGGAGGGUGCAAGCGUUAUCCGGAUUCACUGGGUUUAAAGGGUGCGUAGGUGGGUUGGUAAGUCAGUGGUGAAAUCUCCGAGCUUAACUCGGAAACUGCCAUUGAUACUAUUAAUCUUGAAUAUUGUGGAGGUCAGCGGAAUAUGUCAUGUAGCGGUGAAAUGCUUAGAGAUGACAUAGAACACCAAUUGCGAAGGCAGCUGGCUACACAUAUAUUGACACUGAGGCACGAAAGCGUGGGGAUCAAACAGG